rnacentral:rRNA from 1 species
AAAACGACUCUCGGCAACGGAUAUCUCGGCUCUCGCAUCGAUGAAGAACGUAGCGAAAUGCGAUACUUGGUGUGAAUUGCAGUAUCCCGUGAACCAUCGAGUCUUUGAACGCAAGUUGCGCCCCAAGCCUUCUGGCCGAGGGCACGUCUGCCUGGGUGUCACAA